UUCAGAUCCUCAUAUGCAAACACUGCAUGCAGCUUAUGGAAUAUAUAAUAAACUGCAAUGUACAGAAUUACUGACUAACGUAAGUGAUUGAAACCGAAAUAAAAAGAAAAUACAAAGGUCACAGAAAUCACUUUACACUUAUAUAAGCCUGGCUCUGUUAGGAUAUAAAGGGCUGGCUACCUGGCACUUAAUAUUUAUAAAUAUUAAAUAUAUAAAUAUUUUUAAAUUUGCCUAUAAUACUGGUUUUGAUAUUACAUCCACAAGAAUUAUGAAAAACUUUUUACAAAUUCUAGCUUUUCCUGGAGGGUAAUAACAUGUCUGUAUAACCAUCGGCUUUAUCACCUAGAACAGAUAUUUUAGUACUACAGAAGUCCAGCCUACAAUCUAUUACAAAAAUUUAAACAUUUUAAAUAUGUAUAGCUUCACAGCUAUAAAUAAACUUUUGCAAAGUAUCAUAAAAUAGGUAUCCCACCUUCUCUCUAUAAAAUACUGGCUAAGAACUAUUUUAGUUCAGCUACCACUUUACCCCUGCAGAAAAGGCACUUAAUAGGGCAGACAUAUUUAUAUACUAGUUAUUUGUUGCACUGCUUUCAAUAGCUAAGGACUCCAGAAUACUUUCAAAACAGGGUGGGGGAUUGGUUGUCUUUCCCUAAACAACACACACAAAAAGGAAAGAAAGCUAUUUAAUUCAACAGAUUAUUAAAUCAAUAAGGGGAACAUCCCCCUAAAUAAACUAACAGAGACAAGCAACUGCUACUUUACAAUCCCACAGCUCCAGCAAUUGGGUUUAAGAGCAGCAGACAACUGCAGAGGGUAUUCUAGCUAACAGCUAAGCAGAAAAAGCAGGGACUGAGUGACAAAGAGAUCGUGUCUGUCUCUCUUUCAGUCUCUGCCUCUGGUGCAUGCACCUCCCAGCAGCUCUCUCCCUAUUUAAAGGCUGAUGUGGUGUUUAAAUGGAGAGGCGGUGACGUGGGGCUGGAAAGCACCUUCCCAUCCUGGCAGAGUCUAUAUUAGAGAGCGGCAAUGGCUCUAUAUAAACAGGGCAGCCACAGGGAGGAGGAACACAAGGAGCAGGGAGACAGAAAGGCAGGGGAAGCCAUGAUGGAUCUCACAGAGACACAAACAAGGGGGCCAAGCCUGCACCGUAACCGCCCGGACUCGGGGUUUGUCGGCAGCUUUUUGGGGCUGCAGCUGCUGCCAUUGUGGCCUUGAGGGUCACUCCCUCCACACCCAUGGAACAUCUGAGCCAGAUAAGGAGGAGAAAGAAGAGGACUCGGGAUGACACAUUCCAGGAGAUGCUGCCAUGUUGCAUCAGAGAACGACACCAGGGCCUGGAGGAUGACCCUUGCAGACAGCAUGCAGAAUGCAAGAGUGGUUAGAAAAAAGGCCCGGGAGUUCAAGCAGGAAAAGGAGAGGGAGAUGCACCAGGACAUAAUGGCUCUUCUCAGGCAGCAAACAGAGAUGUUGCGGACUCUGGUAGACCUGCGCUCAAGAGUCUUGUGCUGACCGCCCUCUGCAGCCUAUAGACAACUCAAUGUCUGGACCUCCCUACACCUCCCCUCAACAUUCCACAUGGCAUCAAGGGCUGCUGCAUUACCCCUACCACUCCACCGUGGGGAACAUUAAAGACAAUCACAACUGCAUAUACGCUGACCUGUGAAAGACAUGGUUGGUGUAUGUGUACCUGAAAUGGAAAUGACUGUAUUUUCCCCUUCAUAAUUUCUGUUCCCUUAAUUUAUUAUGGUUUAUAAAGUGCUAAAUGGGUGUUUUA